rnacentral:rRNA from 1 species
UAACCUGGUUGAUCCUGCCAGUAGUCAUAUGCUGCGUUCAAGGACUAAGCCAUGCAUGUGUCAGAGUACACGGUUUGAACAAUGGGUCUGUGAAUGGCUCCUUACAUCAGCAGGCAUCUCUGUGAUAGAGUGUGGAUGGCCCCACCUGCCCAUGGAGGUCCGAUUGGAUACCCUCCAAAACCUAGUGGCUAAUACACGGUCGACCCAGUCUGCUACGUCAUCGGUCCGACAGGCCUCGGCUUGCCGGGCCAAGCAGUGGAUUACGCCCAGCUGUACUGGAAGACCAGCGCCUGGAAAUGGCAGUGUGUUUGGUUGACUCAGGCUGGUCCGAACGGACAUCCGUGCUGGCAGAGUGGUGGCGCAUGCCACAGCAUUGCUUGAUCACACAGACCUCCUGACCUAUCAGCCUGGAUGGUGGUAUCGAGGGCCACCAUGGCAAUUACGGGUGACAGAGAAUCAGGGUUCGAUUCUGGAGAAGCAGCCUGAGAAACGGCUACUACUGCUAAGGCGGGCAGCAGGCACGCAAAUUGCCCCAUGCUGAUACACAAGUGAGGCAGCGACGAACUGCAGCAAUUCCACCUGUCCUCAGUGACUGGUGGAACUUGUAAUGGAUGCAAUCCAAACACAGUGAUGAGUAUCGACUGGAGGGCAAGUCUGGUGCCAGCAGCUGCGGUAAUUCCAGCUCCAAGGGCGUAUACUAACAUUGCUGUUGUUAAAACACUUGUAGUCGGAUGCUGGGUUACAGGUCUGCUGGGUGGCAGCCGUGGGUCUCACGGUCCCUGCGUCUUCGGGCGUGGGGUSGGGUGGUCCUCGCUGGUACAACCCCCAGCAGUAUGUUCCUGUACCCGAUCUCAUGACGGUGCGAAUGGCUCCUGCUCCAAGUCUCCUUCAGUGGGGAUCGAUGCGGUUGUAUACCCAACGCUUGUGUGUUGACGUCACGGGGGGCAUGGCCCCGUGCCAUGCAGUGCCCUCAGUCCACCACCGGAGUCCACUGUCACUGCCACCGUGGAAAACUCAGUGUGCCCAAAGCAUCCAUCUUGGCUGGAUGUCCGUCCAUGGAAUGUCAAAGCAUCGACCGGAUAUGGCUAUGGAGUUGUGCUGGCCUUGGUGCCUAUCUCGGGGAACAUGGCUCAGUCCACAGUGGCACGGAGGCAUUGCUGCCGUCUGGCUGGCGGUGCCCACCCGUGUGGCUGGCGGGCUGUGUCGAUCGUCCACGAUGGGACUUCUCGGGGUGAAAGCUAUUGCAACGCCAGAGGUGAAAUUCUUAGACCGUUGCAGGAGCGACUGCAGCGAAGGCGUUCUGCAAGUGCAAGUUCGUCGAUCAAGAAUGUGAGUGUGGGGAGCAAAGAUGAUCAGACACCGUCGUAGUCCACAACUGUAAACCAUGCCAGCUCGGUGUUGUUGAAGCAAGUACACGGACUUCAUCAGCACCAUACCCCCUACAUCGAGAAAUCCAAGCYCAUGGGUUCAAGGGGGAGUACUGUCGCAAGGCUGAAACUUAAAGGAAUUGACGGAAUGGCACCACAAGGCGUGGAGUAUGCGGCUUAAUUUGACUCAACACGGGGAAUGUUACCAGGUCAGGACGUUGCUGGGAUGGACAGAUUGAGAGCUCUUUCUUGAUCCUUCGGAUGGUGGUGCAUGGCCGCUCCUGAUUGGUGGAGUGAUUUGUCUGGUUGAUUCCGAUAACGAGUGAGACAUCUGCCUCCCAAUAGCCCCAGCCUCGCACUUGUAGGGUGGCCAUCCCGUGUCACUGGUGGGUUCGCCUACCAGCCGCAGGUUGGUCCGCCUGAGAGGCCUGGGAUCAGCUUCUCUGAGGUGCUGUGUACGCUGCCAAGUGCAUGCAUGCUAGAGCCAACAGCAGGUCUGUGAUGCUCCCAGAUGUCCUGGGCCGCACGCGCACUACAUUGGCCCGAUGAAUAUGUUGUACCCUUGCUCGUCGAGACCUGCCUGGAAGUGGGUGGGAAACCCUCGGAGCCCGAAAUGGCCGUACUGGGGAUAGAUGAUUGCAACUGUCUGCCUUGAACGAGGAAUGCCUAGUAAGCGUGGGUCAUCAGCCCACACUGAUUGUGUCCCUGCCAUUUGUACACACCGCCCGUCGUUGCUACCGAUGGAAGCUGGAUAGAGCCAUCAGGAGGUUUGGAGUCGUCCUGGCUAUGGACCGAAAUUGGGCAAUGUCCAGCUUCUAGAGGAAGCAAAAGUCGUAACAAGGUUGUUGUAGGUGAACCUGCAGAAGGAUCAA